rnacentral:rRNA from 1 species
AGCGCCGGUAAGGUGAUAUGAACCGUUAUAACCGGCGAUACCCGAAUGGGGAAACCCAGUGUGAUUCGUCACACUAUCAUUAACUGAAUCCAUAGGUUAAUGAGGCGAACCGGGGGAACUGAAACAUCUAAGUACCCCGAGGAAAAGAAAUCAACCGAGAUUCCCCCAGUAGCGGCGAGCGAACGGGGAGGAGCCCAGAGCCUGAAUCAGCAUGUGUGUUAGUGGAAGCGUCUGGAAAGGCGCGCGAUACAGGGUGACAGCCCCGUACACAAAAGCGCAUGUGCUGUGAGCUCGAUGAGUAGGGCGGGACACGUGGUAUCCUGUCUGAAUAUGGGGGGACCAUCCUCCAAGGCUAAAUACUCC